AAAAAUGCAAAUCUAAAUUUUGGACCAAAUCGAUAAAAAAUGCAAAGGACAUUCCAUUGACCACCUUAAGGACCAUUCUCAAAUCCUUUGUACAACACGUAAUACUUGUCCUGCCAACUUAAAAUAUCUAAUAAAAAGGACAUAAAUCCUUCGUGGAGCUGAGGUAAAGAGCUUUAUGUCGGGAGAGAUAAAUGGCUGUAGAUCGGCCGUAUCCUUGCCGAUCAUGAUGUCCAUUGGCCAACUACUGGCAAAUUAAAGACUACAAUGAGCUCUAAGGACCUUCACGAAUGACAAAGCAGAUUUUUCCAGGAUAAAUUAGCUAAAAUUAUUAUUUAUGCUCGAUUUAUACAAUUUUAAGAGAAAUAAUUAAGAUAACAUAGAUUAACAUAAUAAAUCAAUUAUUUAAUUGAAUAAACAAA